AUGGACCACGAGAGAUUCAUCAUAGAGGUGCAACACCACGCCGUUUUAUAUGAUUGCUCGCAUGCUUUCUAUAAGGACCACACCAGAACGGAGAGGGCAUGGAAUGAAAUAGCAGCAACUCUGGGAAGUACGGCCAAUGACUGCAAGUCUCGAUGGAAGCAGCUCAGAGACUCCUUUGUAAAGUACAGAAAAAAAACAUCCCUUCCAAGUGGCGCAGCAGGUGGGUCCCAGAAAGACUGGAAGUAUGCUGAGUUAAUGUCUUUUCUCAUCCCAUUCCUCCAGUCAAGAAGUUCUAAAAUCAACUUGGGCCCCAUGCCCACAUCAGGGACUGUAGAAGGGGUGGAAGCAGGAGAGGAUGAAAAGUUAGAGACCCCGUCAUCACAAGAAUCAUGUGCACCUUCACCAAUUCCACACCUUCCAGUGGUUCCAACAUCAGAGGACGUGGAGCGUGUGUUUGAGUCUGGAAGCCCCGGAGAGAGAGCUCAGCCUCCUGGACAGGAGAUGAAGAGGAGGAACACACAGGUUUCAGAUUUGGAGGACAGAUUAAUGGGUGUACAGCCCAAUACAGAACAGGAUGAGGCUUAUCAUUUUGCUCUGAGCACAGUCCCUCUCUUAUUAAACCUGAAUAAAACUAGAAGGCGACAGGCAAAGCGGGAAAUAAUGAGAGUACUUGAUCUCCUCAAUGAGGAAGAGGAAGGGGAGCAAGUUGCUGCAUUUCAUGUAAAAGCGGAGUGUACUUACCCAUUGUAG
rnacentral:lncRNA from 1 species